rnacentral:tRNA from 1 species
GGUCUCGUAGUUCAGUCGGCAGAGAAUGUGGCUGUUAACCACAAAGUCGCAAGUUCGAUCCCUGGCGAAGCCG